GCCGAGCUCAGUCACAAGAGCUAGUAACCCAAGUGGGGGCAUUAACAUGGUGGAAUGUUGGGCCUGUCCAAAAGGCAGGACUUGGGUAGCUAAUUUCUGGCCUGCCCUCUCCAAGCUCAGAGUUGGGCCACGUGGUCCAUGCCAAAGGCUUGGGCUGCUUGGCUCCUAAUGUGGGGUGGAUCGCGUGAGGCUUGUUUCACAGAGCAACGAUGAGCUCCCGCUCUGUGUAGUGGAAGGAUAACGAGUCGGUGCUACUCAGGCCCAACAAGUGCCUGAUGGGCUGCUCUAAUCAAACCACCACUUUU
rfam:Nicotiana attenuata strain TT chromosome 10, whole genome shotgun sequence.